UACGUAGGGUGCAAGCGUUGUCCGGAAUUAUUGGGCGUAAAGAGCUCGUAGGCGGUUUGUUGCGUCGGCUGUGAAAUCCCGAGGCUCAACCUCGGGUCUGCAGUCGAUACGAGCAAACUAGAGUGUUGCAGGGGAGACUGGAAUUCCUGGUGUAGCGGUGAAAUGCGCAGAUAUCAGGAAGAACACCCGUGGCGAAGGCGGCUCUCUGGGACGGUACUGACGCUGAGGCACGAAAGCGUGGGGAGCAAACAGG
rnacentral:rRNA from 1 species